CUCAUGUUAUGUUCAUGCCCACACUCUUGUGAGAUGCCUUGUAACAUCCAGAUUGGAUUACUGUUAUAGCCUUCUAUACGGACUCACCAACGGACAUCUCAAUAAACUAAAAAAAGUCCAAAAUACAGCAGCAGGUAUUAUAUCCCUUACCACUAAACGAGACCAUAUCACCCCUGUACUCUCAUCAUUACACUGGCUUCCAAUCAAGUUCCGGAUUGACUUCAAACUUCUUUGCAUUGUGCAUAAAUGUUUGCAUA